GGGAGAUCGAACCAGAGGUCAACUGCUGCUCGUCCGUUGCGCCAAACGUCCUCUGUGUGUGUUGCAACGUGGACAAAACAGACAGCAGGUGACAUCAUUACGGAGCUGCACGUGCCGAGGCCUUGACGAUUCAAUGGAGCGUCCCUGGCUCGGCGCGUUGUGAAGAUGUUUCGGGUGAUCGCGCUUGCAUGAGAGCAACCGGCCGAGUCCGCGUGUUCUCCACAAGGCCGUGCGUGACGUCAUUUAUGGCCGGCCCCCAAACUGCGGGUCAUCACAACCCGAUCGCGCCGCGAGCAGCAAACUCCGGGUGACGUUGGUUUCGCUGUGGAACCCGCGUCCUCUGCCGCCGAUCAAGAGGACAAAGCCCGGGGCGCACGGGCAAUACGAGCCACGCUCCCAACAUUAUCAUGACCCAGAAGGAGGGACAUGGCACUGUCCCAGGCCUAUACCCAUGGGUGGAAUAUGCGGGGGCGGGGGGGCACAGGUGGUAACGCCCCACCCAAACUAGACACCUUCAUUAAUAUAUUUUCAGUAGAGGGACUCCUUAAUUUACGAAUAUUCGACUCAUGAACUUUCAGAGAUGUGAACAAACCUGUCCCUACAGUAUGUCCAGUUGCCUGUUCGGGCCGAGAGUCGUAAGUUCAACCGCCGCGCAAUAGAUGGCGGUGGUGGCAUCUACAUUUGCAGAACGUGAAGCACCGGUGGCAUCUACAUCUACAGGAGAUUAUACAACUUUUAAAGCCAUUAAUUUUGGAGCUUUCGUGACUGCAGGAAUUAUUCUUUUGUUCUUUCGGUAAAGUCACGUCUAAAGAUAA